rnacentral:rRNA from 1 species
AGAGUUUGAUCAUGGCUCAGGAUGAACGCUAGCGGGAGGCUUAACACAUGCAAGUCGAGGGGUAACAUGAGGUAGCAAUACUUUGAUGACGACCGGCGCACGGGUGAGUAACGCGUAUGCAACCUACCCUGUACAGGGGGAUAGCCCGGAGAAAUUCGGAUUAAUACCCCAUAAAGAUAUUUAGAGGCAUCUUUGAAUAUUUAAAGUUUCGGCGGUACGGGAUGGGCAUGCGUAACAUUAGCUAGUUGGUAAGGUAACGGCCUACCAAGGCAACGAUGUUUAGGGGUCCUGAGAGGGUGAUCCCCCACACUGGUACUGAGACACGGACCAGACUCCUACGGGAGGCAGCAGUGAGGAAUAUUGGUCAAUGGGCGGAAACCUGAACCAGCCAUCCCGCGUGCAGGAAGGAGGCGCUAUGCGUCGUAAACUGCUUUUCCAGAGGAAGAACACCCCUGACGUGUCGGGGCUUGCCGGUACUCUGGGAAUAAGCAUCGGCUAACUCCGUGCCAGCAGCCGCGGUAAUACGGAGGAUGCGAGCGUUAUCCGGAUUUAUUGGGUUUAAAGGGUGCGUA